AGGAGGACAAGGAACAAGGGGAAGGAGUAGGGUGACGCCUCGCAUUCCGUCCUCCUCCCUGCGGCGGUUGGCUGGUCGACUCGUCGCGCCACCGCAUCCUCACCUCCUCUGUGCCAUGAGUGACGGUCCACUCCCUCCUCCUCCAUCCUCCCUCGCUCGUCAGCCACCAUCGCACGAACCUCCCUAGUCAGGGUCGGGGCGGAAGGCCAUGGCCAAUCUUGAGCCUCUAGACGAAGCAACAUGGGUUGGUGGAGCAUUGGAUAUGGGAAGGGUCAAUGGUUGAGGGUCGCUGACCGGAGCAGCAGGAGAAAGACCUUGAUGUGGUUCCGAGUUGUCUAAAGUGGAACUGAUGGUCAUCACCGCUGACUAAGCUGUUGAGCCCAAGAACUAUGGCACAAUGGUGGCCUAGCUGUUCAACUUCUCAACACCGUUCAAUUUUGACUUUGGUCGUCCUUGCGUCCACUCAGCAGAGAAGUAUCUAUACUGAAUUUCUGCUCUAGAUAACUUAAACUCAUAUAAUUAUCUCUAAUACCCAGUCCAAAUCAUUAGUGCUAGAUCGACAACUUUUUAGCCAUAUUUGUGGGAAGUGCAUUGCAUGUGUAACUAAACUGGGCUGGACCAAUCUUGAGGUUUACCAUGAAUUUUUAUAAAAUGGUCCUUAAGCAAGGCACUGGCAAUCACGAAUAGCUCAUAUAUUCAGGGUAUGUGCCCCUUGUGCUAUAUUUAUAGCAGGUUGUACUCAGCGUAAAUUGUGAGAUUUGAUCUGGUAGAGAAGAAGCACCGAGAUAGUCUGGUCUUACCUACAUAUGAGUCAUUAUUGAGGACUGAGCAUCAAGCGUGAUUCUGUUUCCAGUCCAUGUAGAUUAGCCAUUUGACGACUUAACUAGAAAUUAUAUAGGUUUUUAGUAUAUAUAUGUUCAGUUAUGUUGUCAUGAGCUGUGACACGAAUUAAUAGAAAAUAACCAUGUAGUAUCUUUUUUUAUACGAGUAAAGUAUGUGCAAUAAAUUUGCAAAAAUGGUCCAUCAACUAGCUGAAUAAAAAACACUCUAUGCGAAAGGCGAACAAACAUACUAAAGCACAAGUCGUAGUAAUUCCAAAGUAUUUUUACAACUGCAUUUUAGCGGGCUAUAUCAUGAUUUGCUUUUUCUGAACCUUGAUAAUAUUAUUCAGGAUUCGCGACAACAGUCUUUUGAUUAGUACUUAUUUUGGAAUACGGAAAAUGGGCUGCGAGGUGGCAAAUAUCAGAUAUUGGCUAGCCCUUUUCUAUCCAUUAUAUACUGACUAUUUUCAGUUCUAUGCAUAGAUUACUUUUUAAGGAAAUCUGUAGUUGUCAAAACUGUGUAGUUCAGUAUCUAUCAUUUUUCUCUAUUUCAUAUUUUAUGCUUACAUCUCAGGUUUGGACAGUUAGAGAAAAAGUAUGUGAAGGAGUGUGCGAGGAACUAGGAAAGAAGCACAAACGACAUGAUGCUAAUAUAUCUGUAAGAAAUUUGGCAUGUGAGUUUAUGCCAUACUCCAUCCUCUCUCGAAUCUCGAUGAAUAAUCAACAGGUGUGCCUUUAACUCUCAUAUUUCUUUUGGUGUGUUGCAGCAUACUGCAGUGGCAUGGUAAUUAUUGUUGACAUAAGGUUGUCUGCCUUCAUGAUUUGUCAGGCCUCAUGUUUGUAGCGUGUUGUUUACCAUGGCUACCCUUUGUUCCAUAUGGUAUAGGAACUGCAAGGUUUCUACUAAUCGUCGCCAAGUUUUUACAGGCAUAGCUAAAUCCAAAGUUGUUUCAGUAUUGAGAAUAAUAGGAACAAAUUUAGCGAAACACAAGUGUGCAGGCUGCCAAUUUAGUGCUUGGGUACACCCUCUCUUGAUUUUUAGUUCAUUGGUUAAUUUAGAAUCUAGAAAUAAAUUCCUCUUUGCUUAUGGAUUCCCCACUUUUUGCAAGGGAAUUAUUUUAUAAUAAGUACAUAUGGAGACACCACAGUAUUUUCAGUUUGCUUUAUUCAAGGGUCAAACACCAGUAGAAAUUUCUUUGUUGAACACUUACACCGAAUAGAUAAUAUGUCAGCAUAUUUGAAAAACUCAGCUAGGAAUCUUAGUUUUGAAAGAGCCAUACACCUAUUAUUGCAAGAUAUAUACCGUCAAUGUCAAGAUCCUGAUGUUCUAUAUUGCUGCCACAUGAGAAUAAUAGCAGCAAAAAACGGCAAUGUGGUGGUAUCUUGCGGUGAGAUAUAUUAUUGCUUUUAUUCUGAACAAAUACCAAAUAUGACUGCACUUAAUUUCUUCUUCAGGAAAAGCGUUGUGGAUGCUGAGAUUAUGAAUGCAACUACUACCAACAAUGAAGAGGUGGCAGAUAGGUAAGUCUACAUGCAUGCCGUUAGAGAAACACCUAGAAACGAUCAGGAACACAUCCUGGAUUGGCAACUAUGCUAGGAUGGUACGUUAAACAGUGGCAUGUAUCAAAAUUAUACCAUUCCAUGAUUACUAUGUAUUUUCACCCUUUUGUUUCUAGUUGAUACAUAACUUUUGCUGCAUGAAUUUUUGUUCGAUAUUACCUCUCAAUUAUGUUUGUCUAAAUACUUUCUUUUUCUGUACCAAUAUCAUGCUAACUGAAACUCAGUUUUGUUCCAAUGAAUUUUGGUUGAAUUUUCACUAAGGUGAUGUAGGUUAGUGGCUGGAAGGGGUGCAAGCGUUUCUAAAAAGCUAACAUUACUUGAUCCAUCAAUCCAAAUUAAUUCUCGCAAUACUAAUUAUGCAACUGUCUUCCGGUGGUCUAGUAACAAGCAAUAUGCAUGAAUAACAUGUGUUUUGGGCCAACCAUUAAUUGUGGAAGGGCAAUGUAACUUCUUGUCUUUAUUUUUGACAAGAACAGUAGGAGCUCUGCCUUUGCAUUAUAGUGGGGAAAAGAAAUACAUAGUACAUUGAGAAUGGGCAAGAGAAAAGCCCAGAAAACACCCUUACUCGCACUCGCUUAGAAAACUACUACAAAGGGAGAAACAAAAACCAUCCCAUAAGUGUUCCUACCCAGCCACCGUAAUUGUUAGACAGAUGGCCUCAUUGAACAUUCUAAUAUCGUCGCGAAUAAGGGUCACCAAGGCCCUCGGCGUCAUCUCGGUAUUCACAAAAACUCCUCUUUUUGCUCCUUCCAAAGAUGUCAUGCAGUGUAUGCUGAUAGGAAAAAGUUCUUUUGUUUUGCUCCUUCCAAAGAUGCAUGCCAUGCAGUGUAUGCUGAUAAGGCUAUCUCCUCAGCGACCCUGUUUGGUGCACCAUGUUGCAUAUAGAGCUUCUUCCACCAAUCUGAAACUGAAAUUGCCGACUGAGAUGCUCUACGGUCUCCGGUUCUGGGUCACAUAGACAGCAACAGACAUUGUGUGGCCAUCCUCUGGUUUGCAGCCGGUCAGCGGUCCAGUUUCUAUUCUGCGGGAAGAGCCAGAUUUACAAAUUUACCUUUCCCUCAAGCUUGGUCCGUACUCGUGCAAUCCGGGCUGCUCAAUCCUUGCAGAGCUAAAGUAUGCUCAGAUUAUCUACCAAGUCGUGAUGAUUGCUUCUUUUAUCAGCCUGUCCUUACAUACACUGGGGAUGAAGAUCAAUCAACUGUACAAACUUCUAUUGAGUAAGCUCAUUUUUAAGUUCAGAUAUAAUUAUGUGUCUCGAAUUCUUGUUAUUUUUCAUUUCUUAUAUGAAAUAAAUCAUCUGUGGCAUACUUGGUUUCUCAUAUUGUCUUGGUUUUAGAUUUAAAGUGACAUUUUCUAUUUUUGCAAACCAGAGGGGUUGUUCUUAUAAAUGUAUUGCUACUUCUUUUCGCUGCUAUAAAAUGCUUGGUUGAUCUC